UUCUGAGCCUCAGCCAUGAUGAAAGGGAGUCUUGGCGGCGUGCUUUUUAUCAUGGUCCAGCAUUUCCUACCAUGUCUAAGAUAUUACUUGGCAAUAUUGCUCUGAAGUGGCUACGGCAGAUUCACAACACUGUGAGGAAGGAAGUCUAUGAUUCCUUUUUUGUCAGAGGACCUCCUACUGAAGUGAUUCAGGCUCUUGUUCCAGCUUUAUCUCAAAAUGAAAACUCUAAGGAGGAUCAUAACAUUUUUUGUUUGAACAUUGAAAGGUGUUAUUCUUAAGCAACCCUCUACUUAGGCUAUGCCAUCACACUUGAGUCUUUGUGUCAGUUCAACUUGUUUGAUCUGGAAUCAAUUAAUCCUCUUAUUUCUUAGGCAAUUGACAAUCCCCAAAACUUAUAUUUUAGCACACACAAAUCUUGUAUGACAGUUCAACACUUGUAUGCAGGUCUUAACCAGUACCAUGCCCUUUUCCCCUGAUAGGUUAUUUUUUCACUGCAUGCUGUACUUGAGCCACGUGGUGCCAAACAAUUAAGCACGUAGAUUUUUGCGCAGAUCCUAGCACGUACUUCUGGGUAUUCUAUUUAUCUAGCAGUAGCAGAAGCAACAUGGACACAUUUUCUGAUAAUCUAUCUUCAGCGAUGAUUGCUGAAGAAACAGGAGUACAAUAUAAUGAAAAUAAAGAAGAUGCAGAUCACCUGAUACUCAAUCUGUUCUCUUCUACUUGUCAUUUCGGAACCAUAAAGUAUUUGGAGUUGUGAGAUGAAAAUAUUCUGUUAGAUUUUUUCAUCAGAAGCAUGUUAUAUUGAUAUUGGUUACUUUUGCUAGCAAUAAUUGGAAAAAUAAUGGUCAAAGAUGUGUGUUGGAGACUAUUGAUGUCCAGAAUUGACAAACGAAAGAGGCGGAAGUAGUUGAUACAAUCUCAUAACAUAUUUAGUUAGCCUUUUCUAGAUUGUUGGUGAAAGGCUGACAGCUAGUGAUUUAGUGGAAUUAACGCAUAUGUGGAACAUCUGGCAUGGAAACAAUAUAGCAUUAUGAGGAGCAAUUGAUUUGCACAAUUCAACGAUUGUUCCUAUGGUAUUUCUUAUCAUUUUAAGCAAA